GACGGAGGAUGCAAGUGUUAUCCGGAAUCACUGGGCGUAAAGCGUCUGUAGGUGGUUUAAUAAGUCAACUGUUAAAUCUUGAGGCUCAACCUCAAAAUCGCAGUCGAAACUAUUAGGCUAGAGUAUAGUAGGGGUAGAGGGAAUUUCCAGUGGAGCGGUGAAAUGCGUAGAUAUUGGAAAGAACACCGAUGGCGAAGGCACUCUACUGGGCUAUUACUGACACUCAGAGACGAAAGCUAGGGGAGCAAAUGGG
rnacentral:rRNA from 1 species